UACGUAGGGGGCAAGCGUUGUCCGGAUUUAUUGGGCGUAAAGAGCGUGUAGGCGGUUUGGUAGGUCCGCUGUGAAAACUCGAGCUCAACCUCGAGACGCCGGUGGAAACCAUCAGACUAGAGUCCGGAAGAGGAGAGUGGAAUUCCUGGUGUAGCGGGUGAAAUGCGCAGAUAUCAGGAAGAACACCCGUGGCUAAGGCGGCUCUCUAGUACGGUACUGACGCUGAGACGCGAAAGCGUGGGGAGCGAACAGG
rnacentral:rRNA from 1 species